ACAGUUGGACAGGUACAUGGAUAGGACAGGUUUGGAGGGAUACGGACGCAAGCAGGUGGGACUAGUGUAGCUGGGACAUGUUGGCCGGUGUGGCCAAGUUGGGCCGAAGGGCCUGUUUCCACGCUGUUUCACUCUAU